UACGGGGGGGGGGCAAGCGUUGUUCGGAAUUACUGGGCGUAAAGGGCUCGUAGGCGGCCAACUAAGUCAGACGUGAAAUCCCUCGGCUUAACCGGGGAACUGCUUCUGAUACUGGAUGGCUUGAGUUCGGGAGAGGGAUGCGGAAUUCCAGGUGUAGCGGUGAAAUGCGUAGAUAUUGGGAAGAACACCGGUAGCGAAGGCGGCCACCUGGACCGGAACUGACGCUGAGGCGCGAAAGCCAGGGGAGCGAAUGGG
rnacentral:rRNA from 1 species